GGACAACAUUUUACUACUUGUAGUACAAUCAAUGUACUUGCUACUAUUGUUGUAAAGAAAUGUACGUUUGUGACAUGGUACAAGUAAUCUAUAAAAGGAGUCAAAUUUGCUACACUGGAUAUACAAAGGGGAAAUUGAAGAAGAAGCAGAAGAUGAUACUUUGUUGGUGACUUUGGUCUCGAAAGAAUGUUGUUAAGGUCAUUGUUGAAUACUACGAAAGAAGAAGCAUCAUUGUAUGGACACAGCAUUAAACUUUUGGGACCAAAGUCACCAACAGAGUCUCAAAUUUCUCAUCUCCAAAUCAUCCAACUGAGGGGAACAGCCAACAACUUUGUUUCUCAAUGAUUUCUAUUGUUAUGUUUUUGUAAAUUAGUGGCGUUUUGUUCCACUUGGAGAAUGUAACCAUAUAGAUGCAGAGUUAGCCCCUGCGUUUUGAUCAUUUUUGGCGUCUCAUGUUAUUGUGAUAUUGUUGGUCGAAUGGGUACGGGAUUUAAGAUAACGUAAUCUUCUAUUGCAAAGUUAGUUCUAAAUAAUGUAAACUCAAUUUAAAUUUGUGAAAGCUUUUAUACUGUCCGAUA